CCUCGUCCUACAUGUAUACACACAAUGGCACAGGGUGUAGAGUAGGAAUGAAGGAUAACAGUACCAGUUGUUAUAAAUACGUUUGGUCACAGCUUGUGGGUCACGUGAUAAUCUUAAGUGUACUGUACACAUGAUUGCAUUCCUUAACGUAUUAUGGCAGAAAAUCUUUCACGACAUGAGUUAAAGAUUCUACACAGGAAAGUUUCAAACGUCAGCAAAGACUUGCAGAUUAAGUACAACUCUAUGAGGGAAUUUCUAAAGGAUUUUAACGAUGGAUUUAUAGAAA